ACAAAUGAUUAUGCCCAAUCCAUACUCUAGGACUAGGGACGAAUGUGUUGGGUUUUCGUUCAAAAUAGUUUCAUAAAAUUUAAAAUUAUGGCAACGGAAUAAAAAUUUGAACAUAACAUAAAAAUUUAUACCCACCAAGGUGUUGGAUAAGGUGUCUAAGUCCAUAGCUUAUUUGGUAUAUACUUGACCCGACCCGGCAUGGUCCAUUUGGGUUGCACUUCACCCGAACUAUUUAUGGAUAAUUUUAUGAGAGUUAUACACAUAUGUUUAUUAAUAUAUUGUAAGUUAUAAUAUAUUAAUAUGAAGUUAUUUAAUUAGUCUUAGUCUUAAAUUAAUUAUGAAUUAAUUUAGAGAUUAAAAGGAAGACUAAUUAAAUUGUAGGCUAUUGUUUUAUAUGGUGUGGGCUAACACUCAUUUGUUAAUGGGCUAGGCUUAUAUGGAAGUCCAUGGAUGAUCCAUGGAGCUUUUAACCCAUGGAUCCUUGGAAAAGGAAAGGUCAUGGGUUAUUAGGGUUUCACCCUAACCAUGCAUACUAUAUAAGCAUGCUUAUGUUGCAUGAAAUAGCCACUAGUGUGUGUGCUUGUGUGUGGCCGAAAAUAUAAGUGUGUGUACACUCUCUCAAAGUUUUCCAAGUGUUUGUGGUGAUUUGUGAUUCCAUUUGAGGCAUUCACAUUAUUGGUGCUUGGCUCUCAAACUCCAAACAAUCAAUCACAUCAAAAAGGUAUGUAAUCUCAUCUAACUCUUUUAUGUUUAAAUGUUCCCCAUGCCAUGUUAGAUAGGUUAUAAACCUUGGAAAAUUAUUAUUUUGCAUGUAUUUAGACAAACAUAGAUCCAAGGUUUAUUAGGGUUGCAUGCACACUUAGGAAGUGUUAGAUUGCUCAAAACCCAACAGUGGUAUCAGAGCCUAGGCUUGCUUGUUUGAUACUUGAUGCAAAAUAGUGAAAAAAGUUGAAAUUGUUGCUGUCUGGCUGAUGGACUCGCCGAGUCCAUGGGGGGACUCACCGAGUUCAAGGAAAAAUUCAUCCUACUCGCCCAGUAGGUUCGUGCACUCGGCGAGUAGAAGGUUCAGAAUGCAUAAUUUCGACUUUUGCUGCUGGAAAUGGAGUAGAAACAUUACCCUAAACUGUUUUGGUGUUUUAAAACUUGUUUUAGUUGGUGUAAUGGUUGUUCUAAUCCAUUUAAAAUGGCAUAUAUCAAAAUUUCAUGCUUUGUAUGUGUUCAUAUAGUUCUUGAAACUUUGAUAAUCAUGUUCAUGUUCUUAUGAAUUUAGAAGAUGAUAGGAAUUAUUUGCUGAAUUGUUUAGAAUUAAUUCUUGAUCAUUUAUGUGUUUUAAUGGAGUCCAUAAUUUGUCCUCAAGUUAUGGAUUACCAAAGGUCACUUUCAUUUAACACACACUUAAAACACAUAAGUUACAUGAAAAUGAAGAGUCUUCAUUUUUAUGAACCUUUAAUUCAUAAGUUAUGAAAUGAAGAGUUUUGCAAAGUUACAAAACUUGUCCUCAAGUUUUGGAAUUUGUAAAGUUUCACACACUUUAAUAAACUUUAAUUCCAAACCUUAGAGUUUUAAUAGUUAAAAUUCAACCCUUAUACUAUUUAUAACAUUAAUGGUUAAUUAUUAUAUAUAUGUAUAAGAAUAAGUCGUUUUACCGUUAGUAGGCCUCAUUCACGAAGCCGGUCUAUAAGGUGGGUAUAAGGUUGUUGCCUAUAAAAUGGCGACUUAAUGGGUGUAUACUCUCACCCACCGCUUGCUUGAUCGGUGGAGGGUCGUUAGCCGAACGGGUAGAACAACGACUUUAAAUCCUCAUUAAAAGUAUAAUGAAUAUUAUAAAAUAACUAAACUCUUUUAAUUCCCAAUCUUAGUUAUUUUAGGAAAAUGUGAACAUGGUGCUAAUCCAUGGAAUUCACACUUUGUACCUUACCAAGUCGUUAGUGGAGCGUGUGUGGUUAACCGGCACACUAAUUAGACUAGUAAGGAUCACGAAGGGUAACUUAAUGUUGUCAUAGAUCAAUGGAGCGUGUGUGGUUAACCGGCACAUUGAUUAGGUGAUAAUAUUAGGAGUACCAAGUGAGUUAGCAUGGUUAUUCACACCUUGUUUUGUGAUCCUCGGCAUCCCAGUCACAAAACUUGAAGGGCACAAUCGAGAUUGAAACAUGCCAUUGAAAAGUUCAAUGAAUCUCAAAAGAAUCUAGGAAUUUCAAAUCCAAUUAAACCUAAUUAAUCAUUUCGUUUUCAUGGUGGAAAUUGGUGAAUCGUCAUUCGCCUACCUUUCAAAUAUAUUAUUACUUAGAUUACGGCAUCCCUCUUCUAAGUGUAAUAUAUUGUGAUUGGAUCCUAGCCUUAAUAUUACAUUUGGGUGUCUUAUUAAGGAUCCUAAAUAUCUAAUCUAAACUUACUUUCUUCUUUCAGAUGUCUUCCAACACUAAUGCUUCAGGCUCUAACCCAACUGGUUCUUUCUCUCUCAUGAAUCUUUGUGGGAGGGUCAUCUUUGAUGGUUCCAACUUCAUGGAUUGGAUUAGGAACAUCAGGAUGGUUACUCGUUACGAGGACAAGGAAUAUGUCCUCGAUAAGGAGUUAAAAGAACUUGAUGAGUCUACUGCUACUCCUGAGGAGAUCGCUGAAUUCAGGACUCAUGAGAGAGAUGCUACUAAGGUGGCAUGUAUCAUGAUGGCCACGAUGACAGCCGAGCUCCAAAAGUCAUAUGAAGAUUUCUACCCUUUUGAGAUGCACCAAGACUUGAUGGAAAGGUACCAUCAGAGUGCUCGUCAGGAGCGGUAUGAAAUAAUCUCCUCCAUAAUAACUACCCGCAUGAAGGACGGUGAAUCCGUCACGGGCCACAUGCAAAAGAUGCAAAGGUAUGUGGACCGUUUGCUGAAGCUGAAUGUUAACAUCCCCGAGGAGUUAGCAAUUGACAUCAUUUUGCACUCCUUGCCUUCUUGUUAUGAUCAUUUUCGAAUGACAUAUCAUAUGAACAAGGAGGAAGUUACCCUCAGCAAGCUUCAAGGACUCUUGAAGACCGCUGAAACCGGUCUUAAGGGUAAAGCGGUUGUUACCUCUACUACUCCUACUCCAACUUCUACCCCUGUUUUAGCUAUUGGGCAAGGCAAAGGGAAAAAGAGGAAGCACCCUUCGAAGGGUACCAAGGGAAAGUCUCUUGAAGGCUCCUCAUCCAAGACUAAGAACGGUUCUGUCACUCCUUCUGCCAUUCCAAAGGAUGCUGAAUGCUUUUAUUGCCAUGAAAAGGCACACUGGAAGCGAAACUGCCCUAAGUACUUGCAGGAUCUAAAGGAUGGGAAAGUGAAACCCACCUAUGCAGGUAUUUACACUAUAUUGUCUAAUUACUCAACAUAUUCUAACUCUUGGGUGCUUGAUACAGGAUGUGGUAUUCACAUAUGUUCUGAUUUGCAGGGCCUAAGAAGAAGUGAGGAUGUGGAGCACGGGAAGAUAAACUUAAUCAUGGGGAAUAGGAAGGCUUCACCUGUUUCCAAGAUUGGAGUUUAUACUUUGUUGCUUAAUAAUGGGUUAAAAUUAGAUUUGAAUAAAUGUGUAUACUCGUCUGAAAUGGCGAGGAAUAUUAUUUCUUUUCAUGCUUUGUACAAACAAGGUUUUACCUUUUCGUUUGAUAAUGAAUGUGGUGGUAUUAAUGCUUUCUUUAAUAAUGUGUUUUAUUUUAAAGCAUUACCUUGUGAUGGCGUGUAUGAAACUGUGUCGAUUGUAGACAACUUAGGAAAUAAUGUGUUGUAUAUUGAUUCUUCUACUAGCCUAGAUAAAGCAUCAUUGUGGCAUUGUCGUCUUGGACAUGUAAACAAGAAACGCAUAGACCAACUCCAAAAGAGUGGAGUCUUGGAAUCAUUUGACCUCAAAUCAGAUGAUAGUUGUGAAUCUUGUCUACUUGGAAAAAUGACAAAAUCACCCUUCACUGGAACUUGUGAGAGGGGUGAAGGUUUGUUGGACCUAAUACAUACUGAUGUAUGUGGGCCAUUCAAAACCGCCACAAGGGACGCUAAUCGGUAUUAUGUGACUUUUAUUGAUGAUUAUAGUAGAUAUGGGUAUGUCUACUUGAUCAAACACAAGUCCGAAACCUUUGAAAGGUUUAAGGAAUUCAAACAGGAAGUAGAAAAUCAAUUGGGCAGGAACAUUAAGAUGCUUCGAUCCGAUCGAGGUGGUGAGUAUCUUAGUACCGAGUUCCUUGACUAUCUUAAGGAGUGUGGGAUUGUCUCACAAUUGACUCCUCCCAGGACACCACAGCUGAAUGGUGUAGCUGAGAGGCGUAAUCGUACCUUGUUGGACAUGGUUCGCUCUAUGAUGAGUCGAGUUUCGUUACCAAUCUCUUUUUGGGGGUAUGCCUUAGAGACUGCCGCCCAUAUCCUUAAUCUAGUCCCUACAAAGAAGGUUACCAAAACACCUCAUGAAAUGUGGACUGGGAAGGUUCCCAAUUUGGACCACAUCAAAAUUUGGGGUUGCGAAGCCUUCGUGAGGCGUGAAACUCAUGAUAAGCUUGAACCCCGAAGUGAAAGGUGUAUUUUCAUCGGCUACCCACAGAAAUCCUUCGGUUACCUUUUCUACAGACCCAGUGAGAAUGUGGUCUUUGUAGCACGAAGAGGGAUCUUUCGCGAGAAAGAAUUUAUAAGCCAAGGAGACAGUGGGAGGCAGAUUGAUCUUGAAGAAAUUCAAGAAUCAAUUGGUGAAGGAACCUCAGACACUAGCAAUCAACCUGAGGAAGAAACUCCUGUUGAUCCAGCUGACGAGUCUGUACCUCCGAGACGUUCCACACGGGUUAGGAACACACCUUCGUUUUAUUAUGGUUUUCAUAUUACUACGGAAGGUGAUACGUUUAUUAGUGAUAGUACACUAGUAAAUUUGGAUGAACCUAGCAGUGUUAAGGAAGCCAUGGCAGGCCCGGAGUCUGCUAAAUGGAAGGAGGCUAUGGACAGCGAGAUACAGUCCAUGUAUGACAAUCAAGUUUGGAACUUGGUUGACAAUGUACCAGGCCGUAAAACAGUCGGGUGCAAAUGGAUCUUCAAAAAGAAGACCGACAUGGAAGGAAAAGUGCAUACUUAUAAGGCUCGACUGGUUGCGAAGGGUUUUACUCAAACUCAAGGUAUUGAUUAUGAUGAAACCUUCUCGCCGGUGGCCAAGAUUAAGUCUAUUAGGGUUAUGUUAGCCAUUGCAGCAUUUCAUGAUUAUGAAAUAUGGCAAAUGGAUGUCAAAACCGCUUUCCUUAAUGGAAAGUUGGCUGAGGAUGUGUACAUGAAUCAGCCAGAGGGUUUUGUCAAUGCAGAGUACCCUAAUAGAGUAUGCAAGCUUAAGAAAUCCAUUUAUGGAUUAAAACAAGCAUCUCGUAGCUGGAAUCUUUGUUUUGAUGAGAAGGUAAAAGAGUUUGGCUUCUUGAGAAGCGAAGAUGAGUCUUGCGUGUAUGUCAGAGCUAGUGGGAGUAUAGUUAGCUUCUUGGUACUGUAUGUGGAUGACAUACUACUCAUAGGAAAUGACAUCCCAACCUUGCAGGAGGUUAAGUCCUGGCUUGGGAAGUGCUUUGCUAUGAAGGACCUAGGGGAGGCUACCUAUAUCCUAGGGAUAAGGAUAUUAAGAGAAAGGAGUAGAAGACUAAUUGGACUUAGUCAGAGUAUCUACUUGGAUAAGGUGUUGAAAAGGUUCAACAUGGAGAAUUCCAAGAAAGGAGAUUUACCGAUCCAAAGCAAUACCAAACUGAGUAAGACUCAGAGUCCGAGUACAGAGGCUGAGAUAGCUGAGAUGAGCCAAUUACCAUAUGCUUCCGCAGUUGGCUCGAUCAUGUAUGCUAUGACUUGUACCCGUCCUGAUGUGGCAUUUGCUUUGAGCAUGGUCAGCAGGUAUCAGGGGAACCCUGGCAAGGCUCAUUGGACCGCGGUAAAGAACAUUCUCAAGUACCUGCGGAGGACUAAGGAUUGGGUCCUUACCCUUGGUGGCAGUGAUGACUUGAGAAUAUUAGGGUAUAGUGAUGCUGGUUUUCAGACUGAUAGGGAUAAUUUCCGCUCUCAGUCGGGCUGGAUCUUUACCUUAAAUGGAGGGGCAAUUUCUUGGAAGAGUUCCAAGCAGGAGACGGUGGCUGAUUCGACUUGUGAAUCAGAGUAUAUAGCAGCGAGUGAAGCAGCGAAGGAGGCGAUAUGGCUAAAGAACUUCAUCGGAGACCUUGGAGUUGUACCAGCUAUUAAGGAACCUAUGGAGAUUUUCUGUGACAACAAUAGUGCGGUUGCCUUAGCCAAGGAACCAAGAGAUCAUGGCAGAUCCCGACACAUUGACAGAAAAUAUCACUUCAUAAGGCACAAGAUUGAAGAAGGACUCCUUGUGACAAGGAGGAUAUCGUCGGAUGAGAAUCCUGCAGAUCCCCUUACGAAGGGACUGACGAGGGUUAAGCAUUUUCAGCAUGCGAGACGCAUCGGGCUGAGGGACGAUAUUAGUUUUACAGAUUAGAUAGUUUUCCUGAAACUUGUAAAAUGUAAUCGACGUUUGAUGAUGAAUAAAAUUUGUGAUUUAUUUAUGAGUAAAGUGUUACUAUCAUUGUCAAUUAUUUACUAUUGUUUCAGUUUUGCAUGUUUUGACUUCCAGAAUAAUUAAUUUAUUCAAACCUCCACAAUCGGUCAUACGUCGGAAGUAGGUAUGAAUCAAGAUUGUCAUGAAUUGGGUUUGUGGAUGGCUAAAGGUGUUUAGACAUGGCAAUGGUUGCUAAAAUGUUCAUGAGUACUCAUAAGUUAUGAGUAUUGGAAUAAACCCACGCUCACUUGUAUCACUUCAUGGAAUUUAUCUCGAGUGAUCGUGAGACGAUAAUAUCAUAUAAGUCUUCAAACCUAGAGAUAUGAGUUGUUACCUAUGAGUUGGUUGUGCAUUGAUUGCACGUAAACGCAUCAGUAACUUGAUGUUAUAAAACGUGCCUUUGUGUACAAUUCAACAAGUAGUAGAACAAGCAUAUGAGUCGAAGUUUAUCUGUUCCUUCUAGAAAUAGAAGCGAUAUCUGGGCCCCUCGAUGAUUUUGUGUUGACCCAUGUACCGGGCCCGGUCAGAACUAAACUGAUGUGUUCAGUUAAGUUCUUUGUCAAACAAAUCGGAAAUCGAGAAACAACUGCCAGACAAUAAGCAAGACAUAGUUCCAUGUGUUUGUCCGGCUGAUAUCAUGAGAACAGAGGAUUAUAUGAUCACUUGUCUUAAAAUGGCGCUUCAUAGUUCAACAGAGUUUUCGAGAGCUACAUUUGCUGGUUGGUUCCUGAAGUUAUAUAGGCAAAUAUAGUAAUUAGACUUAUCCAAGUGGGAGUCUGUUGGAUAAGGUGUCUAAGUCCAUAACUUAUUUGGUAUAUACUUGACCCGACCCGGCAUGGUCCAUUUGGGUUGCACUUCACCCGAACUAUUUAUGGAUAAUUUUAUGAGAGUUAUACACAUAUGUUUAUUAAUAUAUUGUAAGUUAUAAUAUAUUAAUAUGAAGUUAUUUAAUUAGUCUUAGUCUUAAAUUAAUUAUGAAUUAAUUUAGAGAUUAAAAGGAAGACUAAUUAGAUUGUGGGCUAUUGGCUUUAUAUGGUGUGGGCUAACACUCAUUUGUUAAUGGGCUAGGCUUAUAUGGAAGUCCAUGGAUGAUCCAUGGAGCUUUUAACCCAUGGAUCCUUGGAAAAGGAAAGGUCAUGGGUUAUUAGGGUUUCACCCUAACCAUGCACAUUAUAUAAGCAUGCUUAUGUUGCAUGAAAUAGCCACUAGUGUGUGUGUUUGUGUGUGGCCGAAAUUAUAAGUGUGUAUACACUCUCUCAAAGUUUUCCAAGUGUUUGUGGUGAUUUGUGAUUUCCAUUUGAGGCAUUCACACUAUUGGUGCUUGGCUCUCAAACUCCAAGGAAUCAAACUCAUCAAAAGGUAUGU
rnacentral:lncRNA from 1 species